rnacentral:rRNA from 1 species
GACGAACGCUGGCGGCGUGCUUAACACAUGCGAGUCGAACGGUAAGGCCCUUCGGGGUACACGAGUGGCGAACGGGUGAGUAACACGUGGGUGAUCUGCCCUGCACUUCGGGAUAAGCCUGGGAAACUGGGUCUAAUACCGGAUAGGACCACUGCCUGCAUGGGUGGUGGUGGAAAGCUUUUGCGGUGUGGGAUGGGCCCGCGGCCUAUCAGCUUGUUGGUGGGGUAAUGGCCUACCAAGGCGGCGACGGGUAGCCGGCCUGAGAGGGUGACCGGUCACACUGGGACUGAGAUACGGCCCAGACUCCUACGGGAGGCAGCAGUGGGGAAUAUUGCACAAUGGGCGCAAGCCUGAUGCAGCGACGCCGCGUGAGGGAUGACGGCUUUCGGGUUGUAAACCUCUUUCAGCUAUGACGAAGCGCAAGUGACGGUAGUAGCAGAAGAAGGACCGGCCAACUACGUGCCAGCCGCCGCCGUAA